UGAUACCGUGGCCGAGCCCGUCCGGGCGACAACUCCAUCCACCCGACGCUGGGGAAAGCCGGUCCAAGUCCGGCGCUGACCCGCAACCGUAGGCCCCUCGGGGCGAGCCGGAGCACCCGCCGUCGGGGCUGAUCAGUCC
rnacentral:ncRNA from 18 species